UUCUCUACCAAAAUGCUGGGAGACAUUGAAUGCAACAGAAGAAGCAAGUAGAAGAACCAAACCCAAAACAGCCUGAAGUCCCUUGAAGGCUUCCAGAAAGGUAGGAUUCCAGGACCCUUAGUGACUGGUUGCUGCCUCACAAGCACUGAACAUAGUGCUGAGCCUACAAAGCUGAAC